CAACAGAUAAGUGGUUAAAGGUGUAUGUUCGUGUGUGUCAACAGAUAAGUGGUUAAAGGUGUAUGUUCUUGUGUCAACAGAUAAGUGGUUAAAGGUGUAUGUUCGUGUGUGUCAACAGAUAAGUGGUUAAAGGUGUAUGUUCUUGUGUCAACAGAUAAGUGGUUAAAGGUGUAUGUUCUUGUGUCAACAGAUAAGUGGUUAAAGGUGUAUGUUCGUGUGUGUCAACAGAUAAGUGGUU